rnacentral:rRNA from 1 species
ACGUAGGGGGCGAGCGUUGUCCGGAUUUAUUGGGCGUAAAGAGCUCGUAGGCGGUUUGGCAAGUCGGGUGUGAAAUUUCGAGGCUCAACCUCGAAACGCCACUCGAUACUGCCAUAACUGGAGUCCGGUAGAGGAGUGCGGAAUUCCUGGUGUAGCGGUGAAAUGCGCAGAUAUCAGGAGGAACACCAACGGCGAAGGCAGCACUCUGGGCCGGUACUGACGCUGAGGAGCGAAAGCGUGGGGAGCAAACAGG